GCCUCUGAUGAUGAUUAAAUAAUAACUUUCGUUCUUCCGAGUUGUCCAUGUGGAAAACUAAUGGAGACCUGAACUGAAGAGGC